GUCGGGGGGAGACGGGGGAAGGAAUGGAAGGUGUCGGUUAAUGGUGUAAGUUUUAUCAGUGAGGCGCGCGCGCCGGCAGUGGAUCGACGCUGUCACGCAACCUUCAAAUUUCGAAUUACUUUCAACUAUUUACUGUUUACCUUAAUGAAAUGUAUACAGAUACAAAAUAAAACAAAAAACUAUAUAAUAUAAAAGUUAAUAAGCUUAAUCCGAAAGUUGUAAAUUGUUAAGACGCACAAUAUGUACAAUAUGUACAACCACGAAGAAGUCGAACCAAAAGAGAAAACGAACAGCAGCCUUUGCAGCAGCGCAUAGCUAGACCAAUCUGAGCCAUAAGCUACGGAGCCAUACCAUUAAGGAUCCGAAGGGGAGGCGGCAGGUUGUUCCAGCACUUCGUCGCUGCAUAGCGGAAACUACCACGAAAGGCUGCUGAUCGAUGAAGAGGCACGCUAAGCAUAUAAGACGACGCUCUCGUGGGAUAUGUUUUGUUACUUUCUUUUGCCCAACUCAACUUACUAUACAGAUAUAAAGGUGCUUUAUUUUGAAUAACACCAAAUAGGAGGGUAGCAAGAUGUAAUUGCCUUCGGUAUUCCAUCUUAAUCAUCCGUGCGGUAUUAAGGUAUGGGGAUACAUGUGCGCGAGGCGGAAUUUGGAAGCAGUACCUGAGAGAUGCAUUUUGUACUCUUUGUAUUAGGUUUUUUGAGCGAGCGUGCAGUCUAGGUCCUAUAACCGCAUCAGCAUAAUUAAGUUUAGACAAUACCAGGCUAUCACAAAGUUUAAUUCGCAUGUCUUUACUAAGAACGUCUCUUAUCCUAUACAAUACUUUUAAUCUGUAAAAACAAUUACGAACUGUAUUAAUGGUGUGUUUUUCGAAUCUCAAUUCCUCAUCAAUCAACAAACCCAAGUUUCGCACUUCUUUAACGCGCUCGAUAUUCUUACCUUUAAUUUGUAUGAUAGGGUUUAAGCUACCAAUUAGGUUGAUUUGUUUCUUCGUUCCUAAUAUGAUAUACUUAGUUUUGUCGGGAUUUAGUACGAGAUUAUGAGAUUCUGACCAUUGCGUAAUAUAACUCAAAUCAUCAUUCAAUUUUUGAAUAGCCACGCUAGCUUCAGAUGGCUUAAACGAUAUAUAAAUUUGUAUAUCAUCAGCGUAAAUGUGGUAUUUGCAGUGCUUAAUGCUGUUAACAAUGUCGGCACAAUAUAGCGCAAAGAUAAUUGGUCCUAGUAUAGAGCCUUGUGGAACGCCUGUAUUAACCGUGCUACAGUCUGAAAGCACCCGGGAACCGUUUCCAUUAACUACCUCAACCAUUUGUUCACGAUUACUCAAAUAACUUGCAAACCAUUUAAUUGUUAGAAAACUGAAUCCGUAAUAUUUUAGUUUGGACAAGAACAGAGCUCUAUCAAUGGUAUCAAAAGCACGAGAAAAAUCUAAUAAAACAAGAAUCGUUCCCUCGCCUACGUCCAUACCGCAUAGUACAUUAUCUGUAACAUCCAGUAGCGCAGUUGUAGUGCUGUGAUGUUUACGAAAUCCAGAUUGCAUAAGUGGUAAUACAUUGUUAUUCUCUAAGAAUCGUGUCAAUUGGUUACAUACGAUUCUUUCCAAUAUUUUGGAUAUGCAUGGUAAAAUGCUAAUAGGUCGUAGAUCCUUAAGUUCACAAACACUCUCCUUCUUGGGAAUGGGUUUAACUAUCGCGGUCUGCCAAAGAUUCGGAAAUGUGCCUGUUUCGAUUGAUGCAUUUAAGAUUUUAAUUAUAACUGGUAAAAUACGUGGUAACGACAAUAAAAGCAUGUCUAACGAUAUUCCGUCCACACCUAUGGCCUUAGACUUCAACGAGCGGAGUAUUUGUAAAAUUUCGCAGUCAUUUGACCGUGAGAAAUAACAAAAUGAGGGUUAGAGACAAACAUCAAAUCAAUCAAUGAAGGCUUACAGCCAGGAAAGUAAUGAGUGGGCGAAGACAUUGAAAGUAAAUGUAAAUUAAAAGAAGACAGCAAUGCAUUCAGUUUCUGUGCUCGUGAAUCGUCUUUCAAUAUACACGUGUUUAGAUCGCCCAUGCAUAUUACGUGAUCAAAGUUCGGUAAAAGAUUAGCUAAACUGUUUUCAAGGUCAUUAAAAUAAUUAAUUCUAUCACUAGGGUUGUAAAGAACACCAAGCAGAAUUUUUUUAUGAUGUAUCUCAAUACUUAAAAAAAGAUAUUCUAUAGAGUCUACAGAAUGUGGUGGGGAGCAGAGAGUAAUGUUGGCCGGAAUGUCUCCGCGCGAAUAAAUACCUACUCCACCUCCACCACGCCCAACGCGGUCGUGGCGAAACAGUUGGUAGCCGGGUAGAGAACAAGAAGUAGACGGUAGGGAGGGUUUAAGCCAUGUUUCAGAAACUAGAAUGCAAUCGACUACACUAGUGUGAAAGGAUGUGAGAAGAUCAGAAUGGUGAGCUGGUAGACUCUGCGCGUUGAUAUGCACCAGUGAAAGGAGGUUCUUAUUUGGGAGGAAUACUUUCUGGAGUUUUGUCUCCAGAAGUUCAGUAU